GGUCGGUUGUGUUAGGCAUAUUGCCCGAUGCACUUACACACGCUUGACCCACCAGCUUCGGCAAAUACAUUAAGAGGUACUGAGAACGAGGCGUACCGAAAGGGAGACUCGCGCAGUC
rnacentral:sRNA from 12 species